AUGGAGAAAAAGAGCAAAGCGCCUCGGUUUCCUGCUCAGAGGAGGCCCCCGCAGACGGAGAACCGGCGAGGAGCCUCGCGUGUGUGGAGCCUACUGAGAUUUAGAAAAGUCCCGUGGUUGAAUCGAGCUCGUCGGGGGCCAGAAAAACCCACACAUGGGAUAUCAGAUAUCAGAUAUCAGCCCGGCUGCUCGGGACAUUCUCCACGACCUGUGGUAUCAUCACCGCCGCUCGGAGCUCCACUGGAUGUGAAAGACUGCGUCUGUUCAUUUCUUUUACACGUUGACCUACAUCGCAGCCUUUGCCAAUGUGCCCUUUUACGCGUUUUCAUGUAGUUGUCAAUAUCUUGAGGUGAAAGGUCAACACCUUUUCAAACAAGUCUCUUUUUUUUUUGAAAUUGCCUUGUGACUUCCCGCAAGUCCCGCCCUGCUUGUCGGUUAUCAAUCGAUCCCGAGCAGUGAUGAGGUCAUCUUGCGUAACAGCGCUGUCCCAGUUGUAGCUUGUCACGCUCUGUCUCGCCGCAACAGCUGCUGGACCGAAAGGACAGAUUCCCAAUCUCACGCGUGGAAAAUCCUUGAUUGGAUCAACUGAGUUGAUCCAAUUAAAAAUAAGAAAUACGAAAGGUGGAAAAAGAAUGAGACUCAACUAGAUUAUUCAAAAGUGAGAGGACAAAGGUUUUCAAUCCCCCCCCCAACCAGAACAUUAAUCCGAAUCAGCAGGUCUGGGUUUGCCGUCCAGUCCCCCCUUGUGACUCUCGUCUGUCCCCCUCUCGUCUCACACACACGGCUCACCGGACCGAUGUGCGUGUGUGUGUGUGUGUGUGAGAGUUCCCCUCUGAUGUGUUUGUGUUGUACAUGAUUCCUCUGAGAAGCGGUGGUCUUCAUGAGGGUCUCGGUUCGCUUUUUAUGAACAUAACUCAGGAGGAUGAACUCGAUGGAAUGUCCUCGUGAGGUCCUCGACUCGGCUGUUGAAAAGACAACUUUGGUCUUGUUGUCAUAGCGUCCGGCGUACUUCCUGUCAGUGCACGUUUGUCUCAACAAGAAUGCGAUUUGUUUGAAAAACUGCCGCCCCGAUAGAGAAGAAAGAGGGCAACCAUCUUUGCAUUAUUUCAUCUCGUCCUACGUGUGUUGAGAUCGACUCGUGCUUGUGACCUUAUGGCGACAACUAAAAAAAAACACCACACAACAGCUUGUGACGCAUAAACGAUUUGUAACACUAAUAGUUGUACAUUCAUAAAAUCUACCCCGCCGAACUGCAUGCUGGGUAAAGCUCACAGCAAGAAGUAACUGUGUUGCUACAUGAAAUCACAGAAAAGAGCGACGCAGGAGGAACAAUGAGAGAGCGGAGAUGCGAGCAGCUGUUAGUCCGGUAGUCCGUUUUUUGUCACCCCGAACCCGCGUCUGCAUUAUUGUUGUUGUUGUUAUAAUAAAGAAUAAGAAGCUGAAGAAGAAUAAAGCAUCACUUACAAUAAACUAGAUCAAUAUACCUGUUAAAGUUGUUGGGUAAUGAACAGAAACGCAUCACCUCACUUCUCCACCGCUGACUUCAGAUCCUGCUCCUAUGUGAAUUAUUUCUGUUUAAAAAGCGGAUUCAGGAGAUAAUUAUUCAUGUUUUCAUUGGAUUUAAUUUCCAAUCGUAAGAAAUAUUUGCAUUCUGCACAAAAAUUGAAACUCUUCUAAACCGGGGGGAACAAAGAUUUGUUGUGGGUGUGAAUGAAAUGAUGAACCGUACACUUUAAAUUAUGAGUCAGCACGAGAAUCGUAUUGCAGCGGUUGUCGCUCGGUCAGACGUCACUUGUGCUACAUAAGUGUGUGUGUGUGUGUGUGUGUGUGUGUGUGAUCCGAGGCUCCGGGUCACUCGGCAGAGAACGGACAUCCAGAUGUGUCGCGUUUAGCAGCUGUACGUGGUGAUGGACGGGUCGAGUUUGAACCGAUCCAGAUGCUUCAACCCGCCACUGAGCUCAUUCUCAGGUCACAACUGCUUUCCGCAUUUGACGGGUUUUUACUGUCAAAUUUAGAUUUCUGUCACGCUAUCGUCUGCUUACUGAUCGAAGUCUUUUGGGGCUUUUCUAUAAACAUUCCUGGAUUCUCUCUAAAGAGCAGGAGGUGGUUGGAAAUUCACCCCGAUCAGCUUUGAUUUUAGAUUCCAAAAUAAUUUUUAUUUCCAUGAAUUUGUUUUCAUGCAGUAAGAGCUCCUGUAGGAAGACAAAACAAAACAGUAGUAUGCUCGUCAGGUAUUUCAUGUUCAGUAAGUUACUACAUUAUUAUUAUUAUAAUAAACGUAACGCUUGGAGAGUUCUCCUCCGCGUCAUUGGGCUGCAGUGAGAAUCAAAUCAAAAGGACAGAAGAAACGCAUGAAACUGAAAAGGCCAGUUUUUUCGGCGGUCUGAGUGAGCAGUGCCCCCCCCCGGUCAGCUGUGAACUUUGACCCUACGUCCCCGAGGGAAACUGUCCUGGGAAACCUCUGCAUCUUUCCACUGUUAUUUCUGUCUCACUCGUUCCCACUCCUCCUCCUCUUCCUCCUCCUCCUCCUCCUCCUCCUGCUGCUUUCCGUCUUCAUGGUUUUUUCAUUGUGUCUUUCUGCUCAUAUCACACUCGCUCAUAUUUUUCCGCGCCCUCCCGGUUGCCUCCAUGUUUGAGGUGGUCUGAGGUCCUCUAACCAGGCCCGUAUGUUCCCCCCCCCUCGCCACUCCUACAGAACUCUGUCUCCUCGCCAUUUCCUAUUUCCUGUCCGGUAGCUCCCCUUCUUCCUCUUCCUCUUCUAAUGUACCAAAAAGGCUCCCUCACCUGGCCGAGCUCCAAGUCCUCCAAGGUCUGCGGCCCCCCCCCUUUGCAAGGUUGCCUUGCAAACUGUGAGCUGGAAUGCGAAAAAAAGCUUCUGCGAGAACGCUGACGAAGUGAAGGAACAAGCGCGGCGUUCCUCCCUCUUUAAGUCUCCGAAAUCCUUUUCAGAUUUACCGCGAGUCAUGAAGUGCUCCUCUCUCUCUCUCUCUCUCUCUCUCAAACCUUUUCCUCUCCCGCGUGGCGCUCCGGCAUCUUGCUGGACAACGAGCAUCAUCGAUGGGCAAUAAAAGCAAAGUUUGCCCCAAAUACCCAGUGAUGAGAGCCGGGUACCUGCCCAAAGAGUCCAGAGCAUCACCCCACCAGGACAUUCUGUCCCCCCGUACAUAUAUAUAUAUAUAUAAUUACUAUGAAAUAUUUCUAAUGCAUAUGACCGGUUUCAUAAAGAUAAUUCUGAUGGGAAUAAUUCCACCUUAUUUCUUGUAUUUUUUGGGCGUCAUAACGCAGAAGAUUUUCCGUCUACCGUGACGCUGCAUAUCGUGUUGCCAGGGUUACAAAACGUAGAACAAAUGACAUCAUUUAUGUUCUAUAUUCAUCACGUUCGUCCGCCAGUUUAAAUCUCAGCCGAGCCGCUUGUUUGAUACUCCAACAGAGGGUCCCAGUCUAGUCAGCUGACCUCCCUCACACCACCUGGUGCCCCCCCCCCCCCCCCCCCGCAUCCCCCCAGCUCUUUCAAUCAGCCAGUCUGUCCCGACCAUCAGCGUGGGUUUGUUUGUUUGUGCCAGAAUAUGUGUGUGUGCCUCUUUCAUGGACUAUCAGACACAUCAGCAAUCUCCGGCAUCGUUCCUCCCCUGUUUGAGCCCAAGUCGGGGCCCCUGUCUGGGAUAACUGUUUGUUCGCCAGUGUGCGUGUGCGCGUGUCCGUGUGUGUGUGUGUGUGUGUGUGUUUGGCAGUGUUUCUAGAACUCUCUGUUCCUCAGGAUCACAGAUUAGCAGUACUGUAUUGUUGCUCCGUGUUUGUGUUCGGCCCGGCGCCACAACUACAGGAAGACCCACUGUAAGCUUGGAAAGGUGUGUGUGUGUGUGUGUGUGUGUGUGUGUGUGUGUGUGCGUGCUAUGGGUCCAUCUACCCACGGUGGUCUGGUCCACACACUGUAAGUGGGUCCAUCAGAAGCAAAUGAAGGAACAGGUUUACUAGACAGUGAUGCGCCCGUCUUGGACCGUUGCCAUGGUUUUUUGGCUCGUGAUGUCAUAGAAGUUACUACCUGUUACUACCUGUUACUACCUGUUACUAGUGGAACAAUUGUUUUGUUCUGCUUCUUUUAGGUUGAUCCAGGUCCUUUCUAUUUGGUCUCUAAAGUUCCCGAUUGCUUUAGUUUGUCUCCUUUGAGCCUCAGCUCGACUUGGGACGGGGGGACAUGUGUCUCCCGGAUAUUUUAAAUUAAUAAUGAGCUAAUAUAAGAAGGCGGAAGAUUCAAAUGGAAACAUACCUUUUAAUUCCACAUGUUCUUAGUUGCAUGAAGACUUAAUAUGGUAGAAAAUAACAAACAGGUAAUUUGAUGAGGUAGACAUUUUAAUGGGACCAGAAUAAAAUGGAGCAGCUGCUUUUGGAGACAUAAGUAACUUUUAUUAACUUUUUUUUACGUUUUGCUCCGUUUCUGCACGUUGGAUCCGUCAGUUUCGACGCGGCAUUUCGAGGAGACGUUUUCAAAUUAAACGUAGGACUUUCAAGUUUUGCAGUCAGAAGCGAUAGUGAUCUUCAUAAAAAGCAGGCGGUUCCUUUCUCGGUUCAAGGUGCGUUCAAGCGUUCACGCUCCGAUCGACGCCAAUGAAAUCUGCACAUCUGUUCCAGCUGAGAGAUGGAAACCGCCACUGAGCGAUUAGGACACUUCUAGAACAGUCCACGGAGUCCAACGGUCCACGGAGAACUGCUGUGAAUUUACCGUACCUGUG
ensembl:lncRNA